rfam:Ovis aries breed Texel chromosome 15, whole genome shotgun sequence.
UCCCUGGUGGUUCAGUGGUUAAGACUUGGCGCUCUCACUGCUGGGGCCCGGGUUCAAUCCCUGGUCAGGGAA